GACGAACGCUGGCGGCGUGCUUAACACAUGCAAGUCGAACGGAAAGGCCCUGCUUUUGUGGGGUGCUCGAGUGGCGAACGGGUGAGUAACACGUGGGUAACCGGCCCUUGACUUUGGGAUAACUUCAGGAAACUGGGGCUAAUACCGGAUAGGAGCUCCUGCUGCAUGGUGGGGGUUGGAAAGUUUCGGCGGUUGGGGAUGGACUCGCGGCUUAUCAGCUUGUUGGUGGGGUAGUGGCUUACCAAGGCUUUGACGGGUAGCCGGCCUGAGAGGGUGACCGGCCACAUUGGGACUGAGAUACGGCCCAGACUCCUACGGGAGGCAGCAGUGGGGAAUAUUGCACAAUGGGCGGAAGCCUGAUGCAGCAACGCCGCGUGCGGGAUGACGGCCUUCGGGUGGUAAACCGCUUUCGCCUGUGACGAAGCGUGAGUGACGGUAAUGGGGAAAGAAGCACCGGCUAACUACGU
rnacentral:rRNA from 1 species